rnacentral:misc_RNA from 1 species
GAUGAAGAACGUAGCGAAAUGCGAUAAGUAAUGUGAAUUGCAGAAUUCAGUGAAUCAUCGAAUCUUUGAACGCACAUUGCGCCCCUUGGUAUUCCGGGGGGCAUGCCUGUUCGAGCGUCAUUAUAACCCCUCAAGCUCAGCUUGGUGUUGGGGCCUGCCAACUGGCAGCCCUUAAAAUCAGUGGCGGCGCCAUCUGGCUCUAAGCGUAGUAAUUUCUCUCGCUAUAGGGUCCCGGUGGAUGCUUGCCAACAACCCCCAAUUUUCUAUGGUUGACCUCGGAACAGGUAGGGAUACCCGCUGAACUUAAGCAUAUCAAUAAGCGGAGGA